rnacentral:rRNA from 1 species
UACGUAGGGGGCUAGCGUUGUCCGGAAUCAUUGGACGUAAAGCGCGUGUAGGCGGUCCGGUAAGUCCGCUGUGAAAGUCGGGGGCUCAACCCUCGGAUGCCGGUGGAUACUGUCGGGCUUGAGUACGGAAGAGGCGAGUGGAAUUCCUGGUGUAGCGGUGAAAUGCGCAGAUAUCAGGAGGAACACCAAUUGCGAAGGCAGCUCGCUGGGACGUUACUGACGCUGAGACGCGAAAGCGUGGGGAGCAAACAGG